GUAGGACUACCCCUGA
rnacentral:rRNA from 1 species